GUAGUCGUGGCCGAGUGGUUAAGGCAAUGGGCUAGAAAUACAUUGUGGUGGUUCCCUGCGCAGGUUCGAAUCCUGCCGACUAUG